rnacentral:ribozyme from 1 species
UGAAUCUUUUUGGAUAAACACCAUGGGAUGCGAAGACCCUUGAGGGAUAAUAUAGGCUCUCUCAUCUAACUCCUAUUAGGACAUGUCCUCCUCGUGCAGAGUGGAAACAUGUGUCAUCACAUAUCCUAGCUUCGGUACACGGACUAGAUCCAAUCUCUUUGGCGAAUGGUGGCAUGUGGCGACCCAGGGGUGG